GACGAACGCUGGCGGCGUGCUUAAUACAUGCAAGUCAACUUGACUUUAGAUAGCAAUAUCGAAAAGUAGGGUGGCGCACGGGUGCGUAACGCGUAGGUAAUCUGCCUGAGGUCUGACAUAACCCGUCGAAAGGCGGGCUAACAUCAGAUGAUAUAUAAUCACGACAUCGUGGAAAUAUCAAAUCUUCGGAGCCUUGGGAUGAGCCUGCGUCUGAUUAGGUAGUUGGCGGAGUAAUAGCCCACCAAGCCUACGAUCAGUAGCUGGUCUGAGAGGAUGAUCAGCCACACUGGAACUGAGACACGGUCCAGACUCCUACGGGAGCAGC
rnacentral:rRNA from 1 species